CACUUUAGUAUUCUUCCGUUCUUCUGUGGUCAGAUGCCACCAGUGUCCCUGGAAGAAAUGGCUGUACCUCCUGGUUCUGACAGUAAUUUCCUCUUGUUCUACGAACUCUGUGAACUAUCAGAGAUUGACCCCAAUCCAGAAGAUUUAAUGGAUUGAGAGGAUAUUCCAGAACAUCAGGCCCUGCCUUCCUCCACCAGCAUUUGCAAAGGAAUCCGCUGGUACCUGCACAACUCCAUCAGUUGAAUCAUGUACAAUACCUUGCCUGAAUCUGGAUGCAUAUGUUGUCCCAUGUGCGACUACGUGUGCUACUAUGUGGGAGAAUUCACAAAGGUCUUAUUUGAUGACUUUGUGAUCGGCCUCGUGUAUAACUGAAAGCACUCCUGAUUUUGUGAAUAUACAUCAAGAACCAUACGCAUCGGUCUCCAUGGCACCGCUCUCAAUUCCACGCGCAGAUGCAUGCACCAACACGUACGAGCCUGUCUCCGCACCACCAUGCCCGCUCCCAUGUGAUCUCGCAGGUCAGGAUCCCCUUUGCUCAGCCUCUGUCACGACACAUACCGCUGUUUCUCCCAGUACAUGCACCCUCACCAGUGUAAUCUCAUGCUCCACGUCAUGCAGCAAUAACUGCAGGGGUGGGAAAGGCGCAGCCUCUUGUGUGCCCAAGGUAGUGAAAAUGUGGGCUACAAGAUGUGGAAUCUGGAACAAUGACACCAACACAGCUUGCCCAACCAAAGCUUAUUUUUCUUGGAAAGAUGCCUCUUACGAGCCUUGACUCCGGAACACAAUGCGCUGUUGCAGCCUGAUCUCCAUAACGCAAGUGAAGGACAAUCAAUCUUCUGUGUAUUUACUGUAAGGUCCACAGUUUGGUGUAGUGGUUAAGUGUGCGGACUCUAAUCUGGGAGAACCGGGUUUGAUUC